rnacentral:rRNA from 1 species
GAUGAACGCUGGCGGCGUGCCUAAUACAUGCAAGUCGAGCGAACGGACGAGAAGCUUGCUUCUCUGAUGUUAGCGGCGGACGGGUGAGUAACACGUGGAUAACCUACCUAUAAGACUGGGAUAACUUCGGGAAACCGUAGCUAAUACCGGAUAAUAUUUUGAACCGCAUGGUUCAAAAGUGAAAGACGGUCUUGCUGUCACUUAUAGAUGGAUCCGCGCUGCAUUAGCUAGUUGGUAAGGUAACGGCUUACCAAGGCAACGAUGCAUAGCCGACCUGAGAGGGUGGUCGGCCACACUGGAACUGAGACGCGGUCCAGACUCCUACGAGAGGCAGCAGUAGGGAAUCUUCCGCAAUGGGCGAAAGCCUGACGGAGCAACGCCGCGUGAGUGAUGAAGGUCUUCGGAUCGUAAAACUCUGUUAUUAGGGAAGAACAUAUGUGUAAGUAACUGUGCACAUCUUGACGGUACCUAAUCAGAAAGCCACGGCUAACUACGUG